rnacentral:rRNA from 1 species
GGAUAAGCUACAAAGGGCUAAUGGCGAAUGCCUUGGCAUCGGGAGGCGAUGAAGGACGUGGCAAGCUGCGAUAAGCUUCGGGAGCCGUUAACAGGCUGUGAUCCGGAGAUCUCCGGAAUGGGGCAACCCGGCGGGGGUGAUACCCGUCAUCCUGAGAUCAAUACAUAGUUUCAGGAGGCGAACGCGGGGAAGUGAAACAUCUCAGUACCCGUAGGAACAGAAAUCAACAGAGAUUCCGUUAGUAGCGGCGAGCGAACGCGGAUCAGCCCAACCUACCUCAUUAGGAUGGUGAAUGUAUAGCGGAAACGGUCUGGAAAGGCCGACCAGAGACGGUGAUAGUCCGGUACGCGAAAAUACAGUCAUAUCCGAGGUUAAACGAGUACCACGGACACGUGAAACCCUGUGGGAAUAUGGGAGGACCAUCUUCCCAAGGCUAAAUACUACCGAUGACCGAUAGUGAACGAGUACCGUGAGGGAAAGGUGAAAAGAUGAAACCCCGGGAGGGGAGUGAAAUAGAAACUGAAACCGUUAGCCUACAAGCAGUGGAAGCCCUAUGUCGUCAGACAGGGUGACCGCGUGCCUUUUGCAUAAUGAGUCAAGCGAGUUACCGUCGUCAGCGAGGUUAAGCCGCGAGGGUGGAGCCGCAGCGAAAGCGAGUCUUAACAGGGCGAUCAGUUGUCGGCGUGGUAACCCGAAAACCGGGGGUGAUCUAUCCAUGGCCAGGGUGAAGUGCUCGGUAACACCGAGAUGGGAGGGCCCGAACCGGUAUAGGUUGAAAACUGUUCGGAUGAGCCGUGGAUAGGAGUGAAAGGCUAAUCAAACUCGGUGAUAGCUGGUUUUCUCCGAAAUAUAUUUAGGUAUAGCCUUCGCAUGAUGACUGACGGAGGUAGAGCACUGGACAGGGCUAGGGGUCCACCGGAUUACCACCCCCUUUCAAACUCCGAAUACCGUCAAGUUCUAGUGCGGGAGUCAGACUGUGGGAGAUAAGUUCCAUGGUCGAGAGGGAAACAGCCCAGACCGCCGGCUAAGGUCCCAAAUCCAUGCUCAGUGGAAAAGGAGGUGGAAUUGUUCAGACAACCAGGAGGUUGGCUUAGAAGCAGCAACCCUUUAAAGAAAGCGUAAUAGCUCACUGGUCUAAUGAAUCUGCGCCGAAAUUCAACGGGGCUAAGCAUGGUACCGAAGCCGCGGAUGUCAGGUGCCAGGGUACAGGUACAGGUAUCAGGAGACAGGUCUCAGGGUACAGGAGGCAGGUUUCAGGAUGCAGGUAUCGGUACGGGUAUCGGCAAGCAGCUACCAGGGUUAAGACAUGAAGCACAGUUCAUUUGAAGACUUGGAAGUAUUUCAAAAAGCGUAUCGCAUCUCUUUAGAAAUACAUCAGGCAAGUCUCGGAUUCCCGUCCAUUGAACACUAUGGCCUCGGCAGCAAAUCAGAAAUGCCAGCAAAUCAAUUUGCGCAAACAUUGCUGAGGGGUUUGGCAAGCGGUCAUACUCUAAAAAAGAAUGGAUCAGGUAUCUAACUAUUGCGGUUGGUUCUUCAGAUGAAAUGAGAGUGUGGAGCAGGUAUUGUCUUGAUCUUGGGUAUGUAGAUGAACCCGUAUGGCGUCAGUGGGACACAGGAGUACAGGGCAGAUUGUGAAGAUGUUGCAGGGCUUGAUCAGAAGCUGGUCAUAGGUCCUGUCCCCUGUAUCCUGUCCCCUGUCACCUGAUAUGGUAGGAGAACAUUGUGGUGGUUCUGCGAAGGCGUACCGUAAGGAGCGUUGGAGACGCCCACAAGCGCUUAUGUUGACACGAGUAGCGAAAAACAAGGUGAGAAACCUUGUCGCCGUAAGCCUCAGGUUUCCCUGUAGUCAAGUUAAUCUGCUCAGGGUUAGUCGGCCCCUAAGGCGAGGCCGAAAGGCGUAGUCGAUGGGAAACGGGUUAAUAUUCCCGUACCGAUUUCAUAAUGCUAUGGUAAGGGGGACGGAGAAGGAUAGGGCCGGCCAUCUGGUGGAAUAGGUGGUUUAAGCGUGUAGGCGGACAACUUAGGUAAAUCCGGGUUGUCAACGCUGAGGCGUGAUGACGAAGUCCGUAGGACUGCAAAGUGGUUGAUUCCCUGCUUCCAGGAAAAGCCUCGGUAUCUAGUUAUGAAAGCGACCGUACCGUAAACCGACACAGGUAGGCUGGUAGAGUAUACCAAGGCGCUUGAGAGAACUCUGGUUAAGGAACUCGGCAAAAUAGCACCGUAACUUCGGGAGAAGGUGUACCCGCGUGGUGAAGUCCCUUGCGGACGGAGCCUGGUCGGGUUGCAGUGAAAUGGGGGGAGCGACUGUUUACUAAAAACACAGGACUCUGCGAAGCCGUAAGGCGAGGUAUAGGUCUGACGCCUGCCCGGUGCCGGAAGGUUAAGGGGACGAGUUAGCUUCGGCAACGCUUUGAACCGAAGCCCCGGUAAACGGCGGGCCGUAACUAUAACGGUCCUAAGGUAGCGAAAUUCCUUGUCGGGUAAGUUCCGACCUGCACGAAUGGCGAAACGAUUUCCCCACUGUCUCAACCAGGGACUCAGCGAAACUGUAGCACCGGUGAAGAUGCCGGUUACCCGCAACAAGACAGAAAGACCCCGUGAACCUUUACUAUAGCUUGACAGUGGUUUUUGAGGCAGCAUGUGUAGGAUAGGUGGGAGGUGAUGAAGUGGGCACGCCAGUGUUCAUGGAGCCACCCUUGAAAUACCACCCUUGCUGUCUUAGGAAUCUAACCGCGACCCGUGAUCCGGGUCCGGGACAGUGUCUGGUGGGUAGUUUGACUGGGGCGGUCGCCUCCUAAAGCGUAACGGAGGCGCGCGAAGGUUCCCUCAGGUUGAUUGGAAACCAACCGCAGAGUGUAAAGGCAUAAGGGAGCUUGACUGCGAGAGAGACAUCUCGAGCAGGUACGAAAGUAGGUCUUAGUGAUCCGGCGGUUCCGCAUGGAAGGGCCGUCGCUCAACGGAUAAAAGGUACUCCGGGGAUAACAGGCUUAUCUCCCCCAAGAGUCCAUAUCGACGGGGAGGUUUGGCACCUCGAUGUCGGCUCAUCACAUCCUGGGGCUGAAGCAGGUCCCAAGGGUUUUGGCUGUUCGCCAAUUAAAGUGGUACGCGAGCUGGGUUUAAAACGUCGUGAGACAGUUUGGUCCUUAUCUGUUGCGGGCGCAGGAUAUUUGAGGAGAGCUUCCCCUAGUACGAGAGGACCGGGGUGGACGAACCGAUGGUGUACCAGUUGUUUCGCCAGAAGCAUCGCUGGGUAGCUAUGUUCGGCAGGGAUAACCGCUGAAAGCAUCUAAGCGGGAAGCCCACUCCAAGAUAAGAUAUCCCAUGGCUUAGUCGCCAUCUGAAGGCUCGUGGGAGACUACCACGUUGAUAGGUCGGAGGUGGACGCGUGGCAACACGUGGAGCUGACCGAUACUAAUGGGCCGUGCGGCUUAUCCAU